rnacentral:rRNA from 1 species
AUUGAACGCUGGCGGCAGGCCUAACACAUGCAAGUCGAACGGUAACAGGAAGAAGCUUGCUUCUUUGCUGACGAGUGGCGGACGGGUGAGUAAUGUCUGGGAAACUGCCUGAUGGAGGGGGAUAACUACUGGAAACGGUAGCUAAUACCGCAUAACGUCGCAAGACCAAAGAGGGGGACCUUCUGGCCUCUUUCCAUCGGAUGUGCCCCGAUGGGGUUAGCUAGUAGGUGGGGUAACGGCUCACCUAGGCGACGAUCCCUAGCUGGUCUGAGAGGAUUACCAGCCACCACUGAACGUAAGCACGGUCCAGACUCCUACGGGAGGCAGCAGUGGGGAAUAUUGCACAAUGGGCGCAAGCCUGAUGCAGCCAUGCCGCGUGUAUGAAGAAGGCCUUCGGGUUGUAAAGUACUUUCAGCGGGGAGGAAGGGAGUAAAGUUAAUACCUUUGCUCAUUGACGUUACCCGCAGAAGAAGCACCGGCUAACUCCGUG